rnacentral:rRNA from 1 species
CGGCGUGCUUAACACAUGCAAGUCGAAACGCGAAAGGGACUUCGGUCCUGAGUAAAGUGGCGCACGGGUGAGUAACGCGUAGAUAACCUGUCUUCAUGUCUGGAAUAAUACGCCGAAAGGGGUACUAAUACCGGAUAUUCUUGCUUUUCAUAAGUUAUGCAAGCAAAGGUGGCCUCUGCAUAUGCUACUGCAUGAAGAGGGGUCUGCGUACCAUUAGCUAGUAGGUGGGGUAAUGGCCUACCUAGGCGACGAUGGUUAGCGGGUCUGAGAGGAUGAUCCGCCACACUGGCACUGGAACACGGGCCAGACUCCUACGGGAGGGCAGCAGUGAGGAAUAUUGCGCAAUGGGGGAAACCCUGACGCAGCGACGCCGCGUGAGUGAAGGAAGGCCUUCGGGUCGUAAAGCUCUGUCAAGAGGAAAGAAGUGUACAAUGGCUAAUACCUGUUGUAUUUGACGGUACCUCUAAAGGAAGCACCGGCUAACUCCGUGCCAGCAGCCGC